UUUAGAUUCGUUCAAAUUCGAUAAUAAAUUGGGGAGGACAAUGUUACGUAUCUUGGGCGCAUCUAUGAAGCUCUAUGUGACUAUGGUUUCCCACUGAAUUGAAUUGUCACUAAGUAUGUCUGAAUUCAAUAUUUGACACUGUCGAAAGGUGAUUUAUUAAAACCUUUCCAUUUUCCUCCAAGUGCCUCCGGAAUGCCCCCGGACCUCCUGAAAUUCCGAUCCCCCCCCCUCAAGAAAAAUCC